UACGGAGGGUGCAAGCGUUGUUCGGAAUUACUGGGCGUAAAGCGCGCGUAGGCGGACUGUUAUGUCAGGUGUGAAAGCCCUCGGCUCAACCGAGGAAUUGCGCUUGAAACUGGCAGUCUUGAGUCUCGGAGAGGAAAGUAGAAUUCCCGGUGUAGAGGUGAAAUUCGUAGAUAUCGGGAGGAAUACCGGAGGCGAAAGCGACUUUCUAGACGAGUACUGACGCUCAUGUGCGAAAGCGUGGGGAGCAAACAGG
rnacentral:rRNA from 1 species